rnacentral:lncRNA from 1 species
AUGGCGGGGCCGAGGCCAUGCAUUUCCUCCGGGGGCACAAAGCCGGGGGCAGGGUCCUGCCAGCCCCUUGCCGCGGGAGGAUGCGCGCUGCCGCCUCCGAGCGCUGAGCCCAGACCGAGCUCUAACAAAAGCCGGAGAGCCGCGGGCAGGGCGAAAGGAGCCGGCGGCUCCGUCAUCCCAAAGGGCCGAGGGGGACAAGAGGGAGCCGGGGCAAAAGUUCACCGCGGUCCCCGUUGGGGUGCCCGGUGGGGCAGGGGCUGGCGGUGUGCCCGGGGGCUGCCGGCCUGGCUCGGCGCCUCAGAGCCCCGCGGAGGGACAGAGGAGGGGGAAGGGGGCGAUGCGAGUCCCGGGAGCCCCUUCCCUGCCCUCUCCUCCACAAUACGGCCGGAUCCCCGGCGCAAACACGCCCCCCAGCACUCCGAGGCUCCGCUCCCACCCUUCGGAAGGAAAAAAAAUAGAAAAAUUACGGCUCACUUGCAGAGGGUGAAUGGAGAUGGAGAGACGGCUGCUCCGGAGCUGCCGCUCGCUCCCACGCCGGCCGGCCCCGGCGGGCAGCAGCUGCGGCCCCCGCCCCGAGCCCGGCACCGCGAGGAAGGGGCAGCGCACGCCCGUGUGCGCGCACACAGACACAGCAAUAUCACGACAGGAGGGGGAAAGUUUCCAGCCGCUGCAGCCGAAUUGCCCGCAUUUACAACCCCCAGAACCGCACGGUGGCAGAGGCACCGCACGCACGACCCGGCCCCAAAAGCAACGGGGCAGCGCGAGGGGAAGGGGCCCCGGGGCACGGAGAGAGGGCGAGGGGAGAGCAAAAAUCCACGUAUCCCAUUUUGCUUUCCCCGGGAAUGCCGCCGGGGCAGGGCACGGCUACCGCAGAGCAGGGAGGCGAGGGGCCACCACGGCGGCUCUCCCGAGCGGCCCCGUGAAGAUGGGCAAAUAAACAGGGCUGCAAAUAAAGAGCGGGCAGAAGGGCUGGGCUGCAGCGAGACCCGCAGCGCCCGAGCAGGACGCGCGGCCCAUCGCCCCCCCCCGCCCCGCGUUACCUUCUUAGUGCAUCUGGAGCAGCGGCUCUGCUUCCCCUGCUCCUCUCCUGUCCUCUCGGUUUAUACCAGCCUGUUCCUCAUCUCACAGCCUUCCUCCCAGCGCCAUCUUGCAAGCUUGUGA